CAGGACGAACGCUGGCGGCGUGCUUAACACAUGCAAGUCGAACGAUGACGCCCGUGCUUGCACGGGUUGAUUAGUGGCGAACGGGUGAGUAACACGUGAGUAACCUGCCCUCCACUUCGGGAUAACCUCGGGAAAUCGGGGCUAAUACCGGAUAUGACUGCGCAUCGCAUGGUGUGUGGUGGAAAGAUUUAUCGGUGGUGGAUGGACUCGCGGCCUAUCAGUUUGUUGGUGAGGUGAUGGCUCACCAAGGCGAUGACGGGUAGCCGGCCUGAGAGGGCGACCGGCCACACUGGGACUGAGACACGGCCCAGACUCCUACGGGAGGCAGCAGUGGGGAAUAUUGCACAAUGGGCGGAAGCCUGAUGCAGCGACGCCGCGUGAGGGAUGACGGCCUUCGGGUUGUAAACCUCUUUCAGUAGGGAAGAAGCGAGAGUGACGGUACCUGCAGAAGAAGCGCCGGCUAACUACGUGCCAGCAGCCGCGGUAAUACGUAAGGCGCAAGCGUUGUCCGGAAUUAUUGGGCGUAAAGAGCUUGUAGGUGGCUUGUCGCGUCUGCCGUGAAAACCCGAGGCUUAACCUCGGGCGUGCGGUGGGUACGGGCAGGCUAGAGUGUGGUAGGGGAGACUGGAACUCCUGGUGUAGCGGUGAAAUGCGCAGAUAUCAGGAAGAACACCGAUGGCGAAGGCAGGUCUCUGGGCCAUUACUGACACUGAGAAGCGAAAGCAUGGGGAGCGAAC
rnacentral:rRNA from 1 species